UGAGGAACAUGACCUUCGGCGGGGGAUAGCCGGCCCAACGGCCGGGUAAUACCGCGUACGACCACAUGGGGACAUCCCUGAGUGGUGAAGGCAGCAAUGCGCCGAUGGAGUGCCUCGCGGCCUAUCAGCUUGUUGGUGAGGUAAUGGCUCACCAAGGCUUCGACGGGUAGCUGGUCUGAGAGGAUGGCCAGCCACAUUGGGACUGAGACACGGCCCAGAUCCGUACGGG
rnacentral:rRNA from 1 species